CCUACCCUGCUUUUCCCAUAAAUAAGAAUCCCUCACAUAAGGUGGAUUCUGUUUUAGAUUUUGAAAUUAGAGAGAGAGAGAUGGGUAUCGGCAAUGGAUGCAUUAUUUUGAUUCGAAGAGUGAUGGGGAAAAAGGGUGAGGAGUGCAGAGAGUGCUGUCUCCGUUUGCUUCAGAGUAAUCUUCUCAUCAAAAUCUCAACUGGUUUCCCUCUACCCAUUCGCAAGUUUGUUAUUUUUUCGGAGAGUCCCCACCGGUUGAGAGUGCUGUCUCCGUUUGCCUUUGGAGAAUUUCGUUCUCAUCCCCUUAUUGGCCUCUGCAUCACCACACUGCCACUGGUCCACCCCCCAACAGCCAGACCCACCCCCCUCCGGUGAGUUCAAUGGUGAUAGGAGCUAGAGACCUUUAAGGUUUAGAACCCAUACAUUACUUAAGGUAAUCUCCAAAUUUUCUCAAUCUAAAUGUUUCAUUCAUGUUUAUACACAGUUUCAAGUUUGUGACUUCAAAAACAAAAAUAUUAAUUUGAUCGGUAUGUUAGACUAAAAUUUUGUAUUUCUUAUGUUGUGGCAGUUUUGUUGAGUUAUUUGGUUUAGAAUGAUAUACACGGCAAUUGACAAUUUCUACUUAACCUAUGAGCAACUAAAGAACUCACCUUCUAGGAAAGAUGGUAUUGAUGAAGCUACUGAAACUACCCUACGAAUCUAUGGCUGUGAUCUCACCCAAGAAAGUGGCAUCUUGCUUAAGACAUAAGACACAAUGAGGGGAAGCCAACCUUAGGAUUAGGUGGUUUUGGGUGCCUAACAUCUUCCCAAGAUCGUACCUUAACUUCGAACCCAUAUCUCUAGUAGUAAGACCAAAAACUUCUUCCUUAAAAGAGCGCUAUAUUCAUGGUUCCUGGGCCAUUGUAAAACUAGGUGGCGAUUCCUCCGUUGUGUCCACAGUAGAGUUUAUCAGCUGCAUGUUGGGCCAAAACGUGAAGUCCUCUGAAAGCAACACAAAGAAAAAUGAACCUAUUAGCAAAAGGAGCUACUAGAAUAAAAGUGCGAAAAUAAGUAAAUACACCUAAAAGUCUACCCACCUACUCUACCCCCGGGCAUUGAGCAUGAAGCCACAAUCUCCUAUUGAUUUGGGGUGCACUGGUCGGGGUUUAAUUCGAAAUGCCUCAAGAAUUUGGUUAACAACUUGCUCAUAAGGAUCCUAACUCCUCCUUCUACAAAGGCCAUUAAGGGUAUAACCACAAUUUCAAGCUUCUUACUGACCUUAAUGUCUGCAUCUGGGAUAUACCUAACCCCAAUGUCAUCUGGAAUGCCAUAAGUGGCCCUAAAAACGUCUAAUCUCUUGGGAGUAUCUACCAUAGACUUAAAUCUACUCAUUUUCACCUACCCAAGGAAAAUGAAAUGAUGAACCAAAAUGGAGAAGGGGAGAAAGAUCGGGAAAACUUACUAGGAUGGCCAAGGAUAGGAGUAGGUCACCACAGGAAGCUCAAACCUUUUAGGAUUGAACAGGCUCUCUUGAAGAAAUGGAGAAAUGUGAAGGAAAGAGUUAAGACGUAGAAAAAAUGGGAACCCAAAAAUUGGUCUGGGUUCCCCUUUAUAUAGGAAAGAAGGGAGCGGGAAAUGACAAGAACGACACUUGGGUUCCUGUGCCCACUCUGUUUUCCCAAAAUACCAUCCGGUUGUCCAAUUGGACACGCGUUAUGCAUCGAAAUGAUAAAUGAAUGGUCUUG